UCUGGAAAACACAGUUCGUGGAUGCACUUACAGUAUGUAUCUUUACAUUGUAGCAUCUUAUAAUUAUUGGUUAAUGAUUUAGCACUCGACCAUUGCAAAGCUAAAAAGAAGAAAGCAAUCUAUCAUUGUAAUGACCGUCUCAAUCUAUCUUGUCUCUAGAAGUUGGUACAAACAUUUCUACAUGAAGCUCCCUUGAGUUUUCCCCUUUUAACUAGGUCUUGCUUCCUUCGUUUGAAUCAGUACUUCAAGUUUCUUGGAGCUAAUGCAUGUUAGAUUUGGACAUUUUACUUUUUCUUUGAUCUAAUUAUUUUUCCAUCAUAUCUCCAUGUGCACACAAGGGGACUUCUUUGCCCACCUCCCUCUUAUCUAAGCUUAGCAGUAGUGAAUGAUUCCUUAUUUUUUAAACAGUUGGAAACCGUCAACCGAAGGAACUAAACAAUAUCUAUCUUCGGCUAGCAAGAAUAUUUUGGCAGUCACUACUUGUACCAUGGAGACUCCUGUUCGCUUUUGUACCUCCUUAUCACAUUGCUCAUGGAUGGAUUGCCUUCAUAUGUUCUCUAAUUUUCAUCAGUGGGAUAGCUUACAUUGUAACAAAGCUGAUUGAUCUUAUAAGCUGUGUUUCAGAGAUAGAUGGUUAUUUCAUAGCAUUUACAGCAUUAGCAGCUAGAACUUCAUGGCCAGAUUUAGUGGCAAGUAAGAUUGCUGCUGAACGUCAGAUAACAGCCGACUCUGCCAUAUCAAAUAUUACUUGCAGUAACUCAGUGAACAUUUACGUUGGCAUCGGCAUUCCGUGGUUGAUAGAUGCUGCAUACAAUUUCAUUUCAUACGGAGAACCGUUGGG